UGUGAGUCGAGAGUCUUCGGGACUCGGCAGACGGCUCAGUAACACGCGGAUAAUCUGCCCUUGGGUGGGGAAUAAUCUCGGGAAACUGUGCAUAAUACCCCAUAGGCCUGAGAUGCUGGAACGCCCUCAGGCUAAAAGCUCCGGCGCCCAAGGAUGAGUCUGCGGCCUAUCAGCUUGCAGUUGGUGUAAAUGACCAACUAGGCGACGACGGGUACGGGCAUUGGGAGAUGUAGCCCGGAGAUGGACUCUGAGACACGAGUCCAGGCCCUACGGGGCGCAGCAGUCGCGAAAACUUCACAAUGUGGGAAACCGCGAUGAGGGGAUUCCAAGUGCUUGCGUUUUGCGUAAGCUGUUCUCCUGCCUAAAAAGCAGGGGGAGUAAGGGCUGGGUAAGACGGGUGCCAGCCGCCGCGGUAAUACCCGCAGCCCAAGUGGUGGUCGAUAUUAUUGAGCUUAAAGCGUCCGUAGCCUGUCUGGUAAAUUCUUGGGUAAAUCGUGCAGCUUAACUGUCCGAAUUCCGGGGAGACUGCCAGACUUGGGACCGGGAGAGGUUGGAGGUACUCCUGGGGUAGGGGUAAAAUCCCGUAAUCCUGGGAGGACCAUCAGUGGCGAAGGCGUCCAACUGGAACGGAUCCGACGGUCAGGGACGAAGCCCUGGGUCGCGAACUGGAUUAGAUACCCAGGUAGUCCAGGGUGUAAACGCUGCAGACUUG
rnacentral:rRNA from 1 species